AUUUUACAUAUGCUUACUAAUACUUAUUUUGCCCUUGCUCAAUUAAGUAUGGACCAGUGGUCAUUGCUGUUAAAAACUAUUUCUGUGCAUUAUGCAGGCUAAAUUGGUAAUAUGUAGAUCAGUUUUUGGCAACCUAUAUGCCAUGCAUUACACACAGGCUGCCAGAUGCCAACAGGCUGGCUCAAGAAAUAAGAGGAUUUACCCAUAUCUGGCUUAAUAGUGGAUUCAGUGGCUCAUGCAGUACUUGGAGGGGGCAGUCAGUCCUAGACUAUUAACUUGCCAAUACAAGCCUGGAGGGUAGAAACUUUCACCAGGGCUAAAUCUUUGAGCCCUGAUCCCAUAAUCCGAAUAUGGCAACAUAUGCUAAUUUAAAAAGAAAAGUACUAAUAGGGCCAGCCACUAAGGGACAUCAAAAUCUUAUUUUAGCACAGUGCUGCUAAAAUGUUGCUCGUGCAUUUGGUGUAUAUAUUGGACUUGCCCCAAUGUGGUUUCAAUACUUUUCAGUUUGGUGUUUAGUGAAUAAACCCAAAUGGUCCAUUCAGUUUAUAUGCAGGUUGGGCAUUAAGAAGUGCCACUCUAUGAGAGCCUGUGGCGGUCUGGAUACGUAGAGUGGG